ACUCAACCGCCAUGUUUUAAUGAAUUACCCAUAGGCCUCUGCCGCUAACUAGUUCUCAGUUUCUGCGGGUACUCUCAAGAAAUAUGCAAAUUAAUUAGAUUGGUACUCAGUUCACUCAGUCCUGAUUCCCGAAGAACUGGAUUAGUUUAAAAUGCAACUUCUCCUAGGGAAUAGCCAAUUUUAUCCAAGGUCGCAUAACAAAUCCAUAUACAUACAUACAUACAUACUUCCCAAAAGAGGAUUUUCAGAGGCAAUACAAUUAAGGUAAAAAUUAAUUCUACAAUUAAGCUAAAAAUUAUGUAUCAGACUUAAAAUAGAGCAAUGACUUAAAUAGCGGAAGUGCUUAAGUUACUUAAGAGGCGAGACCUAAGGCGGUGUUUAAACACAUUAACCGAUUCACAAAGUUUAAGAUGGUUAGAUAAGGAAUUCCAUAAAGUAACUGCUCUAUAGAAAAAAAGUCCUUUGGCCACUGUUUGUCAAAAGUGUGCUUAACUCUAUUGAUCUGAGCUAAACGUGACGUGCACGAAGAAACUGUUUCUAGAAUAUGAAGUUUGGAUCCAUAAUUACACCGAGGUCUUAAGCGGCUGUUGCAGGUGCAAUAUCUUUCCCGAAAAGGGACAGAUUAAAAUCAUCAUUCCCUUUUGCAAUGUUUUGUCUGCUUCCAAAGAUCAUUAGUUUCGUCUUUGUCUGGGUUCAAAAGUGAGUUGGUUAUUAAAGCACCAGUUCCGUAUUUUAAGCAGAUCCUGAUUUAUUUUAUCUCUGGCCCCUCUCUCUUCGUAGAGUGCAAAGGAUAACAGAAGUUUGGUGUCAUCAACAGAGCAUUGUGGGGAGCAGAACAGUGGGAUUGACGGCAAGUCAUUAACGUAAAUGCUGAACAAAAGUGGGCCGAGUAUACUUCCUUGAGAACUGGUGUCACCACGGCUAGCUUCCACGCAUCUGGGAUUGUAUUGGUCCUUUAGUAAACGAGGCGUUAAUGAUGGACGUGAGAGAAGGCAGAAUUACGGGAAGGCAAUCUUUGAUAACUCUUACCGGAAUUUUGUCGUUACCAGGCGCCUUGUUUGUUGCUAUCGAAUUAACAAGGGCUUGUACUUGUUUGCACUCUACAGGAUUAAAGGUCUAAAUACUAACCAACAUCGUAUAGAAUAUCACAGCGCAUGCCCAAAUGUCUACUUCUCUGCCAAUGGGUUGUCUAGUAACUGUCUCGGGGGCAAGAUACAAUGGUGAUCCUUCUAUUGGACAAGAAAUUAUGUCGGAAUUUUCUGAAAGGCCAAAAAAAAAAAAACGUAUAAAUAGUAAAGCAGAACACCAUGCUACUAUUUGGACGUCAUAUCAGUUAUGAAGACUACGGUAUGAAAACGCAAGGUUUAAUAUCUACGAGAGUACAGAUGCGCUGUAAGCGUCACGAGUGACAUUCAAAAAGGAACGUCGACUGAACCUGGGGAAGGGCACCGAAUUUUGAAGAAUUCAGCUUCUGUCAAGGACUCAGGCAUCCAAAUAUUACGUUUAUCUAGUCUCUUGAAUGAAAUGUUAUAAGCUGGAAACACAGUGACCCCGAGAUUUGGCGUACAAUCAAUUAAAAAGUGCUCGAUGGAGCCAUUCCGUAAAACUAUGGCAAGAGUUGUCCUUCACGUUACUUAUGUAGUGAGCUCUACGAGUCUCGAGUAAUCAACUGCUUCAG